UGGAAACACACCAAGAAAUGCUGCUGGGAUUGAAGAUACUCAUGUCCACCAUCUCCUGGGGACAACAGGAGGAAAGUGGAGCUAGUGACUCAGGCCCCUGAUGCGAUGGAAGUACCAGACGUCUUUCACUGGCCGAGCGUAGUGAGGGAGUGUGGACCUGGAUGAGUGAUACCAGAGUUCAUGACCAUUGGCGAGGGUUGGGACGAGGAUCGACCAGUAAAAUGACAGUCUUCUAGCACAGCCACAACAGUGCGGUACAACGUCUGCAAUACCGCAGAUGCUGCGCUGAUCUGCCGGUGUAUCUCCUGGCCCUUUCAACCCUCACUCAUGAACAAGAC